CCUACGGGAGGCAGCAGUGGGGAAUAUUGCACAAUGGGGGAAACCCUGAUGCAGCGACGCCGCGUGAGUGAAGAAGUAUUUCGGUAUGUAAAGCUCUAUCAGCAGGGAAGAAAAUGACGGUACCUGAUUAAGAAGCCCCGGCUAACUACGUGCCAGCAGCCGCGGUAAUACGGAGGGGGCAAGCGUUAUCCGGAUUUACUGGGUGUAAAGGGAGCGUAGACGGCAGCACAAGUCUGAGGUGAAAUGCCGGGGCUUAACCCAGGAAAUGCUUUGAAAACUGUGCAUCUAGAGAGUAGGUGAGGUAGGUGGAAGUCAUGGGGUAGAGGUGAAAUGCUUAGAGAGAA
rnacentral:rRNA from 1 species